UAUUAGAGGAUUUAGGCAUGACAGACUGGGCAAGGAAGGAAUUUGGGGGUUUGGGGGGGCUAUUUCUUGACACCCCUCCAAUCAUAGCCCCUUAGUAUUCUGAGCUACUUUUGUUCUCUUUCUACCUAUGCCUUUUUAAAAAAAAGAUGUGUGUCCUGGCAUAGAAUAGCCCUUACAUAAGUAGUAAUCAUUAAUGUCAUUACUAAUAAGAACAUAAAUGACGUAGACACAUAGCCCACCCUAAACACAUGGAGUGCUUGGAGGUACCAAGUAUAGUUGGAGUUUCUGAAGUGUCAAUGCAGAUUUUGAAACCUCUGCCUCUUGGUGAUGGAAACAGUCUGAGCAAAGAUAAGGAGGUGAAAACCAGCGGUCUUGAGUGCAUAGGGAAUGGGCAAUGACUGAAGAGAGGGCCCUCCCUAAGAGACUGACAAGUGGGGGCACCUGGGUGGCUCAGCUGGUUAAGCCUCUGACUUCUGCUCAGGUCAUGAUCUCACAGUUUGUAGGUUCAAGCCCCACAUCGGGCUUGUUGCUGUCAGCACAGAGCCCACUUUAGAUCCUCUGUCCUCCCCCCUCUCUCUGCCCCUCCCCCGCUUAUGCUGGUGCCCUCUCUCUCUCUCUCCUCCUCCUCCUCUCUCUUUCUCAAAAAUAAACAUUAAAAAUUUUUUAAAAAGAAACCAACAAGUGAAUUUGGUUAGAUGGCAGGAAGCAGUGAGAGGGGGAGAGAGAGGCCAAUUUGAAGAGAGACAUGAUGAUGAAUUCAACUUCGACUUGUUGGUAAGUCAAUAACGGGAAAUGUCCCUUAGGAGCCUGAAGAUCCCAGGCUGUGAAUACAUAGGGCCCAGGGUCACAGGGAGUGCAUGGAUCCUGCAAAGCAGCAAGUGCAAAUGAAAGGGCAGGGUGCAGGAUGCAGGGGGUGUUCAAAUGAAAAAGAUGCGGUGAGAGAGGUGAUGAUGAUAGUGGUGGUAGUGUUUUUGGUGCUUCUGAGCUCAUCAAUUGCAGCAGAAAAGUCCAGAAUAUAAGGCCAGGGAGAAAAAAUAUAAGAUGGGGCAGGAAGAAGUCAUUAGAAACCUUAAGUGUGCUAUAAGGGCAACUUUGUUUAAGUAUUGACAUUGUAUUUACUUAGUGAUUUAAAAAAAUUAACAUUUUUGCUGUUUUUCUGGGUUGGGAGACAUUGAUGGCUCUAUAAAUGUUGAGUUGAAGUUCCCACUUGGCGCUCUCCCUGGUGCUGGAUUUGCAUAGUGCAUUCCUUGUCUUGGGGGUGUUGUGGAAACCAUCCCUUUCUCUCUGUUCAUCUCCCUUUAGGUGCUAGCCAGGAAGUAAAUUUUGCCAAAUAAAGUCACCUUUACAUGACUUGUGCUUCUUCUCCACCCAGCAUCUCUUGGGCUGAUGUUUGCAGCGAAGUGUAGAAGAGAGACAGUAGUCCUUUCCAGGAGUAAAACUCUCUCCCUACAUUUUUCCAAACCAAAUCAUGUUAACAGUGGCUUUCGUGGCUUUCAGGGGGUGGUGAGUUUAUGGGGAAUCCUUAUUUUAUUUAUAUUUUCCAAGUACUACUUCCAUAGUUAAAUUUGUCUUUUUUGAAGAAAGAAAAGUACAUUGAAGGUGAUUGGAGUUCUCACUCGUAGAAAGUCUUGUAAGAGAAUCCUCAGAAGACAUGACAUUCUCAGUGACAUGGCAAUGCCUCUGAGUCUCUUUUAGGAAAAGAUUCUCAGCAUAAUAUUCAGGUUUUUAAAAUUUAUUUUUUAAAAAGAUACAUGAGUAUAAACUCUGUAAGGUGAGCUUUAGGAUUGUAAUUGAAAACAGUUUACUAUUCCCAAGUGACUGCUUCUCUUCCUUUCAAUGUAGGACAUCACUCAUGAGUAUCAACUCUUCAGUGCAUUACAGGAAAAUGUGGUUUUGGAAAAUUCCUGAGAAAAGAACUAUAAGGGCAUGUCCUAUGUCAUAUGUCUAAGAAAAACUUAGCUAGCAGGGAUAAAUGGAGAACAUAGUCAUAUGGUUAAGAUGUCUCAAAACCAAAGCUGGACACUAUCUAUGAGCUUCAUGCAUGAAGCACCAGGUACUACUCACUGCCCUCCACUGCUCUCUUCACACCUCCAUGCUCUGAGCCAGUUGACAACAUUCCCCACAUACUUUCUGCUGGACUGCUGUUGGGCUUUCCAUUCAUUCAUCCAACUUUUAUUGAACCCCUAGCAUGUGCCUUUUACUGCAUCUUUGCUCUGAGAUGACAGAAAUGGACAUGACAGAUCCUUUCCCUAAAGAGACAUGAGCCUAGAGGAGAGGCAGCUGUGCUAAGGUGAUAGUAAAACAGAUGACUGCUGACACAAAGGCUCAUACAGGGUGUUAGGGAGCCCAGAGAGCUAAUUUUGCUUGGCACAGGAGGACAGAGAAUAAAUAAGGCGGGGGGGGGCAGUUACAAAGGAGGAGACACUUGCACUAAUUCAUCAGGUACACUGGGGAGGGGGCAUUGACAGAGGAUCUGGGGAUAGAGACCCAGAGAGGAGAGCCAGGAGUCCACAUCAAGAGAAGGGCUCAGGAAUGACAAAGUGAUUUAUCUGGGACUUAUUCUGGCAAACUGUUAAGUGGAAGACUGAACCCCAUGGACCAAGAACCUGAGGGGGUAGAUGUAAUGGGUGGAAUUCUAAGAUAAUCUCCACCCCUUGUAGAAUUCUUUCCCCAUGAGAGUGAAAAGGAUUUGUGAAGAUCUAAUUUCACACCUGUGAUUAUGUUACUUUAUAUAGUAAAAGGGGUUUUGUAGGUAUAAUCAAGGUCCCUAAUCAGUUGACUUUGAGUUAAUUAAAAAGGGAGAUUAUCCUGGGCCUGAAAUAAGCAGGUGAAGUCUUUAAAAGGGUGCAGGCCUUCCCAGAAGUCAGAGUGAUUCCAAGCAGAAGAGAGGCUUUCCUAUUGGCCUUGAAGAAGCAAUCUGCCAUGCUGUAGAGAGAACCACAUGGCAGGGAACAACAUGUGGCCUCUAGGAGCUGCAAGUGAAUUAAACAAGCAGUGAGCUUGGAAGAGAAUUCUAAGCCUCAAGUAAGAUUCCAGCCCUGGCCAACACCUUGAUUCCAUCCUGAGGAAUGCCCAGGUGAGUGAUGUCAGCUGCAGCUCUGUGACUUCCCCUGCCCGACAAGAGACGGGUGGAAAGUAGAGAAUCCAGAGAUGAUGUUUAUACCCCAAUGAGACAUCAAAAAUGUGUUUCAUGCAAAGGACCCUGAGAAAAAUCACUUCACCCUUUGAGUCUGUCUCCCUGUCUGCCAUAUAGGAAUCACAAAACUAAUCACAAAGGCUUGCUGGACUGUCAUGAGGAUGAUUCAACCCACUGGCAUUACUUUCAUGUAGAAAGAGAAGACUGAAGGCUUUUUUAACUGCAUGCUAGCAGGAAUGCAGCUGACAACACAGUGACCGAGAUCUGCUCCCAGGGGUUCUGGAUGAGCAGGGAGAUCCACAGAAUUCAAGGCCUUCAGAAGUUGAAUGGGCCACUCAUCAGGGAGGAGCUAUGAAAAGCCUUGAUGGAAUCUAGAAACUCAAAUUCUAGUCCUGGCUCCUUCAUCAACUCCAUGCCCAUAGGCAAAUCACCUAGCCUCUGGAGUUCGGUUUCCUCAUUGGUAAAAUGCAGUAAAGAGAAGGACUCAUAAUUUAUCUUCAUUCACAGCUCUGAGUUAUCCUUCUAUUAAUAAACAUGUCACCACAUUCCCACCAGAGGUGAAGAAGAAUUUGGCUGUUUCCAAUCUAAAUAUCAGGAUACCCAUAUCAUUACAAAUGAGGGCUGUGUCAACAUGAAGAGGAUUUAUAUGAGAUGAGGCCAGAGAAUAUGAUGGAAGGAUCUUGAAUGCCAGGCUGACGACAUUGCAUUUGACCCUCUGAUGGGAAAGCAGAGAAGAUAAGCUUGUUUCCAUUUGUGGAUGAAGAAACCCAAGCCUUGGCAGAUUACAGGACUUGUUCAAGGUCACCCAGCCAAUGGAUGCUUAACCGACUGAGCCACACAGGUGCCCCAGGAUCCAGACCCACCUUGAAGUCAGAGGAUUCUUCCUUGGAUCCCUGCUUAGCCAACCCCAUGAGGAGGCUACAGUGGCCAGGGUGCUGCUGUGCUAUGUGGAAACACCCUAAGAUGUGGCCUGCAGAGCUGAACGCGACAGAUGGAUCCUUGUCCCCUCUGUAUUCUCUGCCCAACGACAGGAGGCUAAGUACUUUGCCAGGUUUUGCCCUGGGUCAUCACCGGUCCACCCCAUUCUUGUAUAACCUCCCUUCCUGUUGGCAAAACACUCUUCCUUGCCAAGCUCAGCCUAAGACUCUCACCCCACACCCUCUUCCUAAUCAGGCCAAAGAUAGAAUGUGUUUCCCUUAUUUUAACUAGAUUUAUUAGGCUUAGCCUAAGUCUAGCAGAUUUUAAUAGUUAUUAGUAAAACAUUCUUCCAUUUCCUUAUAAAUACUAUAAUCAAUGUUCCUAUUCUCAAAUGCAUCACUUAAAGUAUCUAAAAUCAGAUAUGGAAGAGUAAUUUCAAUUUGUUCAUAACAAAGUUUUCUGAAGAUAUAAGCAGAUUUUGUCAGAUUCAGAGGCACAAUUCUUACAAACACGCUCAUGCAUUGUAGUGUGGGCAAACUAUCACCAGAGCUUGUCAUUACACCUUGUAGACAUUCUUAUCAUUGGUUCUUAUACAAUCCUUAUGAUCUUUUAUUGUCACCCAAAAGUGAUGGCCAGUUAAGUGGUUGGAUCCACAUGAUUACCAAAGGCUCACUGCUUCCUUGACUGCAACAUUCUCAUUAAAAUUAUGCCCUAGAUGUUUCAUAUAUGGCAACACAUUAUAUGGCCCCCCAGGAAGCAUAAGCAGUUGGUGGACAUGAAAGGACCUUGAAACCCUGUAUAACAUAGUACAUAUGCCAGCUGUCCUUUAACAUAGUAACAGAUGGUGGCCAAAGUCCAGCUGGGCUCCAGGCCCAGCUCUACCUCUUAAUAGUUGUGUGAUCUCUACUAGGUCAUUUACACACUCUGAACCUCAGGCUUUCCAUCUGUAAAAUACAAAUUAUAGUAAUACUUGCUCUAUCAUGAGGUUCAAAUGAGAUCAUGGACGGGAAAUCCCUCACAGGUCAUGAAGCAACACUCAUACAUUAGCCAAUUUAUCACAUACAUUGACUUUUAACCUUCACAACACUGGGAGAUGUCAUUUUCCCCUUCUACAGAUGUAGAGAGUCAAGUAAGUAAGCAUGGUGGACCUGAGGUCCACACCUGGGUCUCCCUGUCUGAUGCUCUUUCCUCUUUGGGAGAAAGCAUACUCCAUGGCACCAUCCCUGCUCAUGGCUAUGUUAUACAAAGAGCACAUUUAGGUGUUGUCCUUAAACCUGGCAGCAAAUUAGUCCUCCAGAGCCACACAAAAGGGAGAGACCAAGGGAAGGCAGCCAAGACCCUGAGGCCUUUACUGUCCAUGAACCCUACUCCCAGCCCCAGCUGCUUGACUUUCCCCAACACAAGUGUGUUAGCCAAGUACCUGUGGAGCACCUGCUUCCACCUCAGCCCCAGAGAAAGCAUAUGGGAUUCAAUUGGCACUGUCCUGAGAAGGCGUGUCAUCUGGCCAAGGCAGAAACUCAGAGACACAGUAAGCAACAGUUGAACAUAAAACAGUAUGUGUUCAGGUGUCAGGUGAGUAAUAAGGAAAGAGGGAGAUUCCUAGAUGCUCCACUUGGGAACACUAGAAAUUCUUGAAGCUCUCUGUGGCCCCAACAAACCCUAAAAAUACCUCAGUUUGGGGAGACAUGGAAUCUAUAUCAUCUCCCCUCUUUCCUCAACCCCACUCUUGAGGUUCCUUUCAGCUCUAUCCCUUCCUGUCCCCAAAACUGUCUCCCUCCCUGGCCUCUAGGCUCCACAAGGUCAAGAGAGCAGAUGCUUCCAUUGCCAUGUGCUGCAGACGCAUUCCAGAGUCAAUUCUCAAUGAACGUCUACUGAACUAAGCAGAUGUAGGCAGAGCACAUGGACAACAACAGGGACUCAAGGCCCAUGAAGGAGUAUGCAGACAGGCUGGACUCUAUCCUGGAAAGGGGGAGGCCUAGGCCCUCAUGGAGGAGCCAAAGGGAGAGAACCCCAUCAACACACUAUGAACUAAAUGGAGAGAAGUGCUAUUUAGAAAAAACCCUGAUGAAUAAAAUUCCUGAGAGCAGCAACUAUCAGGGAACAAAC